AGUGAACGCUGGCGGCAGGCCUAACACAUGCAAGUCGAACGGCAGCACAGUAAGAGCUUGCUCUUACGGGUGGCGAGUGGCGGACGGGUGAGGAAUACAUCGGCAUCUACUUUUUCGUGGGGGAUAACGUAGGGAAACUUACGCUAAUACCGCAUACGACCUACGGGUGAAAGCAGGGGAUCUUCUGACCUUGCGCGAUUGAAUGAGCCGAUGUCGGAUUAGCUAGUUGGCGGGGUAAAGGCCCACCAAGGCGACGAUCCGUAGCUGGUCUGAGAGGAUGAUCAGCUACACUGGAACUGAGACACGGUCCAGACUCCUACGGGAGGCAGCAGUGGGGAAUAUUGGGCAAUGGGCGCAAGCCUGAUCCAGCCAUACCGCGUGGGUGAAGAAGGCCUUCGGGUGGUAAAGCCCUUUUGUUGGGAAAGAAAAGCAGCAGCUUAAUACCCCGCUGUUCUGACGGUACCCAAAGAAUAAGCACCGGCUAACUUCGUG
rnacentral:rRNA from 1 species